rnacentral:misc_RNA from 1 species
GAUGAAGAACGUAGCGAAAUGCGAUAAGUAAUGUGAAUUGCAGAAUUCAGUGAAUCAUCGAAUCUUUGAACGCACAUUGCGCCCGCCAGUAUUCUGGCGGGCAUGCCUGUUCGAGCGUCAUUACAACCCUCAGGCCCCCGGGCCUGGCGUUGGGGAUCGGCGGAAGCCCCCUGCGGGCACAACGCCGUCCCCCAAAUACAGUGGCGGUCCCGCCGCAGCUUCCAUUGCGUAGUAGCUAACACCUCGCAACUGGAGAGCGGCGCGGCCACGCCGUAAAACACCCAACUUCUGAAUGUUGACCUCGAAUCAGGUAGGAAUACCCGCAGAACUUAAGCAUAUCAAUAAGCGGAGGA